GCCAGCAUGGUGUAGUGGUUUGAGCACUGGACUGUGACUCUGGAGACCAGGGUUCAAAUCUUGAUUUGGCC